rnacentral:rRNA from 1 species
UGGGGAAUAUUGGACAAUGGGGGCAACCCUGAUCCAGCCAUGCCGCGUGCGUGAAGAAGGCCUUAGGGUUGUAAAACGCUUUCAGCGGUGAAGAUGAUGACGGUAACCGCAGAAGAAGCCCCGGCUAACUCCGUGCCAGCAGCCGCGGUAAUACGGAGGGGGCUAGCGUUGUUCGGAAUUACUGGGCGUAAAGGGCACGUAGGCGGCCCACCCAGUCAGGCGUGAAAGCCCCGGGCUUAACCUGGGAACUGCGCUUGAUACUGGUGGGCUAGAGUCCGGGAGAGGAUAGUGGAAUUCCAAGUGUAGAGGUGAAAUUCGUAGAUAUUUGGAAGAACACCAGUGGCGAAGGCGGCUAUCUGGACCGGUACUGACGCUGAGGUGCGAAAGCGUGGGGAGCAAACAGGAUUAGAUACCCCCGUAGUCC